rnacentral:rRNA from 1 species
GGAAAGGCGCGCGAUACAGGGUGACAGCCCCGUACACAAAAAUGCACAUGCUGUGAGCUCGAUGAGUAGGGCGGGACACGUGGUAUCCUGUCUGAAUAUGGGGGGACCAUCCUCCAAGGCUAAAUACUCCUGACUGACCGAUAGUGAACCAGUACCGUGAGGGAAAGGCGAAAAGAACCCCGGCGAGGGGAGUGAAAAAGAACCUGAAACCGUGUACGUACAAGCAGUGGGAGCACGCUUAGGCGUGUGACUGCGUACCUUUUGUAUAAUGGGUCAGCGACUUAUAUUCUGUAGCAAGGUUAACCGAAUAGGGGAGCCGAAGGGAAACCGAGUCUUAACUGGGCGUUAAGUUGCAGGGUAUAGACCCGAAACCCGGUGAUCUAGCCAUGGGCAGGUUGAAGGUUGGGUAACACUAACUGGAGGACCGAACCGACUAAUGUUGAAAAAUUAGCGGAUGACUUGUGGCUGGGGGUGAAAGGCCAAUCAAACCGGGAGAUAGCUGGUUCUCCCCGAAAGCUAUUUAGGUAGCGCCUCGUGAAUUCAUCUCCGGGGGUAGAGCACUGUUUCGGCAAGGGGGUCAUCCCGACUUACCAACCCGAUGCAAACUGCGAAUACCGGAGAAUGUUAUCACGGGAGACACACGGCGGGUGCUAACGUCCGUCGUGAAGAGGGAAACAACCCAGACCGCCAGCUAAGGUCCCAAAGUCAUGGUUAAGUGGGAAACGAUGUGGGAAGGCCCAGACAGCCAGGAUGUUGGCUUAGAAGCAGCCAUCAUUUAAAGAAAGCGUAAUAGCUCACUGGUCGAGUCGGCCUGCGCGGAAGAUGUAACGGGGCUAAACCAUGCACCGAAGCUGCGGCAGCGACACUAUGUGUUGUUGGGUAGGGGAGCGUUCUGUAAGCCUGUGAAGGUGUACUGUGAGGUAUGCUGGAGGUAUCAGAAGUGCGAAUGCUGACAUAAGUAACGAUAAAGCGGGUGAAAAGCCCGCUCGCCGGAAGACCAAGGGUUCCUGUCCAACGUUAAUCGGGGCAGGGUGAGUCGACCCCUAAGGCGAGGCCGAAAGGCGUAGUCGAUGGGAAACAGGUUAAUAUUCCUGUACUUGGUGUUACUGCGAAGGGGGGACGGAGAAGGCUAUGUUGGCCGGGCGACGGUUGUCCCGGUUUAAGCGUGUAGGCUGGUUUUCCAGGCAAAUCCGGAAAAUCAAGGCUGAGGCGUGAUGACGAGGCACUACGGUGCUGAAGCAACAAAUGCCCUGCUUCCAGGAAAAGCCUCUAAGCAUCAGGUAACAUCAAAUCGUACCCCAAACCGACACAGGUGGUCAGGUAGAGAAUACCAAGGCGCUUGAGAGAACUCGGGUGAAGGAACUAGGCAAAAUGGUGCCGUAACUUCGGGAGAA